CACACUUUGUUUUCAGUAUUUGCAAACUAUUUUGAUUAUAAUCCACUCCUUAUUUUGAAGACAACACACUUGAUGCCAUAACUAUUUUUGCCCUAUAUUUUCAAGAUAAUUAAGGAGUGGAUUAUAAUUAUUAUAUGUCUUAUUUGUUUUGACUUUCGUCUGAAGUCGCUACUCAAAUUUAAUUGAGAAGAAGAUUUAACUAGGGUGCAAGGG
rnacentral:lncRNA from 1 species